rnacentral:rRNA from 1 species
ACGGGUGAGUAACACGUGGGCAACCUGCCCUUGAGACUGGGAUAACUUCGGGAAACCGGAGCUAAUACCGGAUAAUAUAAGGAACCUCCUGGUUCCUUGUUGAAAGAUGGUUUCGGCUAUCACUUAAGGAUGGGCCCGCGGCGCAUUAGCUAGUUGGUGAGGUAACGGCUCACCAAGGCGACGAUGCGUAGCCGACCUGAGAGGGUGAUCGGCCACACCGGGACUGAGACACGGCCCAGACUCCUACGGGAGGCAGCAGUAGGGAAUCUUCCACAAUGGACGAAAGUCUGAUGGAGCAACGCCGCGUGAGUGAUGAAGGCCUUCGGGUCGUAAAGCUCUGUUGUUAGGGAAGAACAAGUGCGAGAGUAACUGCUCGCACCUUGACGGUACCUAACCAGAAAGCCACGGCUAACUACGUGCCAGCAGCCGCGGUAAUACGUAGGUGGCAAGCGUUAUCCGGAAUUAUUGGGCGUAAAGCGCGCGCAGGUGGUUUCUUAAGUCUGAUGUGAAAGCCCACGGCUCAACCGUGGAGGGUCAUUGGAAACUGGGGAACUUGAGUGCAGAAGAGGAAAGUGGAAUUCC